GCUAUUAUAUACAAUUUUCUCUUGAUUUUAUUAUGUGGGCCUAUACUAAUUUUACUCUUGUUUUCUCUUCUUUAUGUUAAAUUUGUCUGGGUCUUAUGGACCCCAUCCUCACAUUUUCAUUUGGACCAUGGAGGACCCACUUGUGCUCUUCCGAGUCAACUAGUCAUUAAAUCGACGGACAGGUCCCGAAGUUUAAGGAAUUGAAGAAAGUCGAAGAAGUUAGAUUAGAAGACCCCUUUAUUUUCGUAUGUUGUAUUUUUAUUAUGUCAUGGGCCUAAGCCCUUGCCGCU
rnacentral:misc_RNA from 1 species